rnacentral:rRNA from 1 species
UGGCGGACGGGUGAGUAACGCGUGGGUAACCUGCCUCAUACAGGGGGAUAACGGUUAGAAAUGACUGCUAAUACCGCAUAAGCGCACAGUACCGCAUGGUACGGUGUGAAAAACUCCGGUGGUAUGAGAUGGACCCGCGUCUGAUUAGCUGGUUGGUGAGGUAACGGCCCACCAAGGCGACGAUCAGUAGCCGACCUGAGAGGGUGACCGGCCACAUUGGGACUGAGACACGGCCCAA